rnacentral:pre_miRNA from 1 species
AAUGCACUGGUGGGGUCCCUCGGCCUGGCCUGUGGGGAUCAGCUUUCUGACAUCCCCUGAGGCAUCCCGGAUUGCGAGAGGGGACAGGCCAGGCCGAGGGACCCCACCGGUGCAUU